UUAAUUAGUUUAACUGUCAAAUCGUUUUGAUAUAUUUUAGCUUCAAAUGAAAGUGACAACGAUUGUAUUUCUGUCAAUUCGAAGAAAAGAACAGCUAAAAAUAUAAAACCCAGGAGGUCGAUUACACAAGUGGGGUUUGAUUCCGAUGAAGAAUGUGAUCGCAAUCUUAGUGGUCUUGCUGUAAAACGGAAGGCAAAAAGUUAAAAAAAUCCUGCAGUUACAAAAAAUGAAGUCAAUGCUUUAGAGAAAGAUUUCGCUUCAUACAUAAAGAGGAAAAUAUAUCCAUCAGGCGCUCAAAUAAAAUCUUUCAUGCAGAAGAAUAAUAUGAAACGAACUGUUGCAGUGGUAAAGUCUAAGUUGCAACAUUUACUGAAACUUUCGAAUAAGAAGUAGAAGUUUUACGAUUUUUUUCCAACUUUAUAUCUAAAUAUACAUUAUGAAGUGACAAUUUUAUUUCAGAAUUUCAAUAUUUUGUGCUCAAUGUUUUGUUCAAUAAAGUAUUCUACAACUGAGUGUAA